rnacentral:misc_RNA from 1 species
CUGCCCUCAAGCACGGCUUGUGUGUUGGGCCCCGCCCCCCGGUCCCGGGGGGCGGGCCCGAAAGGCAGCGGCGGCACCGCGGCCGGCCCUCGAGCGUAUGGGGCUUUGUCACCCGCUCUGUAGGCCCGGCCGGCGCCCGCCGGCGACCCCAAUCAAUCUUUCCA